AUGUUGCACUCACAGCUGCCCCAACGCCCAGGCGCACCUCCCACCAGCACCCCCGGGAGGGCAGGGACCCUCCCCACCAGCUCCACGGUGUGGAGGACACAGCCCAGCAGCAAGCAAGGCACAUCCUUCGAGUUCUUCAGACGCAGAGAAGUUAGGAGAGAGGGAGGGGGAGGCCCUAGCAGAGCAUGGACCCUCCGGGACCCCAGCCUCCUGUUUGUGCUACUGGGCCAGGGGUCCUGGACAGAGAGAAGGAUGGGCAGACAGACAGCCAAGGCCUCUAACAGCUUUUGUCUUGAGCUAGACUUCAGUGUCCUUACAGUUGGUAAAUGGUUUUCUAUAGAAUCAAUAAUAUUUUUUCUUUCUUUAAAUAUAUAUUUGUUAAAGUUAUACCUUUUGUUUCUCUGGGGAAAUCUGCCUCAGCUCAUUCCCAAUAAAUUAAUACUCUCGAUAGCUUAUAUUCUGGGGGGUACAGCAGGGCAGGGCGCGACCCCACCCCAGCCCCUUGUGCUGCGCUGGAGCGGCUGGCAGAAGGUCCCCAAAGGGCAGUUCUGUGCUGGGCAUAGGCCUGUGCUCUGCCAGAUGGGGAGGGGGCGGAAGAGGCUGCCCCCCUCCCGCUGCCCGCCAGGCAGGGGCCCGGGGCUGCCCCUCCUCCGCCCGCAGCAGGCUGAGCCUGGCAUGGGUGGGCGGGUGGCCCAGCAGUUAUUGCACAGGGAGCAGCAGACGGGAGCGGGCACCCAGCGGGCAGCAGCGUUCACCCAGAGCCCUUGGGCCCCCUGGCCAGGCAGUCCUCCAGGCCUGCGCCCGGGGGCAGUUGUGCUUGUGCAGGGGACGGGCAGCACGGGCCUGCCGCCCCCCGCCUGGCCGGCCGUCCCCUGCGCCUGGCCUCCGCCGGCCGCCGCCCUGCCCGCUCGCGCUGCGCCCAGAGGUGCCCACCCUGAGGUAAAGGUCAGUGUGCGGGCCGGGCCCGGGCGGCGCGGGCAGGCCCGACGUGAGCGGCCGCGUCACUCCAGCAUGGCGUCCAGCUGGUCGGCCAGGUCGUCGAACAUGCUGCCGAUGUCGUCCAGGAUGCUGCCGGUGCUCUUCUCCUCGGCCGACGAGGGGCUGCGGGCCGGCGGGCGGGCGUGGGCGGGCGUGAGCGGGCGGGGCACCCCUGCCCGCGUCCCCCCAGGACCCGACCGCGACCCC
rnacentral:lncRNA from 1 species